rnacentral:rRNA from 1 species
UACGUAGGGGGCAAGCGUUGUCCGGAUUUAUUGGGCGUAAAGAGCGUGUAGGCGGCCUGACAGGUCUGCUGUGAAAACUCGAGGCUCAACCUCGAGAUGUCGGCGGAAACCGUCAGGCUAGAGUCCGGAAGAGGAGAGUGGAAUUCCUGGUGUAGCGGUGAAAUGCGCAGAUAUCAGGAAGAACACCUGAGGUGAAGACGGGUUGCUGGGCCGACACUGACGCUGAUGCGCGAAAGCCAGGGGAGCAAACGGG